UCGGAUUCAAUCAGUCGGUUCACGUGCACCCUCGGGAGGUUCGUCGAAUACCGGUGCAACAAAGGUGGAAUGUCGCUAAAAACUUCAACGUAUCUUUUUUCUCUUAUUUGGCUACUUUGUCUUUUGGCUUUACGAAGAUUAAACAGUCAUGCUCGCGAGGAAGCAACCGUGGUGAGACUAGUCCUCCAGACAAAAGGAACGAAAUGAAAAGGAAAACAAAGGAACGACAGGUUGGCGCCGUAGUGUCACACUCAAUCUCCAAAAAGCAAGUUUCCGCGACUGACGAGUAAAACCUCGCGUCACGUUCAGUAUAUAUCGGGAGAAUGCAAGUGUACGGUGAGAGUGACAUGGGAGUGAGAAUACCUCCCUCCAAGUGAAUGCGAUCCUCCCGCUACAGCGUUCGAGAGGGAAAUACCCAACAUUGCCCGGACCAUGCACUGCGAGAUGUACAGUCUCGAGUGACAAGUAGCGCCUCGAUUGGCGGAAAGUGUCGAGAUAUCUGUAGCGUGCGAGGUCGACACGGCACUCGGUUAUGCUUUUAACGUGUAAAAAAUUGUGAGACUUAUCGUUUCUAAAUGCAAUUACGAUUUAAGAUAAUAUACGUGAAAAGAUUCAAGGUGAACGAAAUUAGAGGCACACGAUACGCUUUUUUCCUAGCCAGGUAGCGCUUGUGUAUCAUAACAAAUGAGCGUGAUAUAUUGGAUUCCAAGUAACCCAUUGAUUGCGGGAAAGAUUUAUCAUUGUGUGACAGGAAUGUACAGAAAGUCCAUCUCUUAUGGGUUUUUAGAACACGAGUCAGAAUCUACGUCAUCGUGAUUUCCAAGAGACCGGUUCCCGACACUUACUUUUUCCUUCUAUUCGCAGGACUUCAAACGUGUUUUUAAUACACAUAGACCUUUCCUAGUACACUUUUUGCGUGUACGUCAAACAAAACGAUUUUGAUUUUUAUAAAUUCCAUCUUCCUUACUUGCAACUCGAUGAUCUUGAAACUAGCCUUAUAACAUCAUUCUGAAAUGUCGAUACAUUAUAAGUACUAUCGUUAACGGUAAUUAAUAGCGACAAUGAUAAAAGCGAUGAUGGUGGCAUGCAACUGGCCAUUCUCUGUUUCAGUAAUUAAGUUUGAACGUCGAUGAGGUUAUCGUGAUAUUCUGGCAAGGCUAUUAGACUACAAGGAGACUCAAAGGUGGAAUGAGUGAA